rnacentral:tRNA from 1 species
GGGCCCAUAGCUCAGCUGGUAGAGCGCUUGCAUGGCAUGCAAGAGGUCAGCGGUUCGAACCCGCUUGGGUCCACCA